ensembl:rRNA 5S_rRNA 5S ribosomal RNA
CUUAUUGACCAUACCACCCUGAGUACACCUGAUCUCUUCUGACCUUGGAAGCUAAGCAGGGUUGGGCCUGGUUAGAACUUGGAUGAAAGAUCGCCUGGGAAUACCAAGUGCUGUAUUU